GACGAACCGUGCGAACGUUAUUCGGAAUCACUGGGCUUAAAGGGUGCGUAGGCGGGCUGUCAAGUCUGGGGUGAAAUCCCGCGGCUCAACCGUGGAACUGCCUUAGAUACUGAUGGCCUCGAGGGAGGUAGGGGCAUGCGGAACUGUAGGUGGAGCGGUGAAAUGCGUUGAUAUCUACAGGAACUCCGGUGGCGAAAGCGGCGUGCUGGACCUCUUCUGACGCUGAGGCGCGAAAGCUAGGGGAGCAAACGGG
rnacentral:rRNA from 1 species